GGGGGCGUAAAGGCUUCGACGGGGAAUUUGCGUCACGGUAAGCGAGUAGCGGUGCGGAACCGCUAUAAAAUCCGCAAUUUAUAAAAAUAAACAACAAGAAUACUGUUGCUCUCGCGGCCUAAUUAAGGCUGCCGUCCCGCUCGGGAGCACCGCGGCCUGAACCGGGGCGUCGAUUAGCGGUGAACGUGAACAAGAAGGUGCCGCCCUUUUUGUCAUGACGUAGCGGCUACCGUACCCGACAGCCUGUUCUUCGGCGGUCGGUGAGGGGAAUCCAAAAGAAGAACUGCACUCGAAGAAAGCUGUGGCAAGGGUUUUUCGGACACGGGUUCAAUUCCCGUCGCCUCCACCA
rnacentral:tmRNA from 1 species